rnacentral:siRNA from 1 species
AGGAAAUGUGAUGUUACAUUUGUG